GACUUGAUACUUUAAGGUAAAAGAUCUGAUUUGCAUUCAGACAAUAAGUUUUUUAAACUUUCGGGUCA
rnacentral:tRNA from 5 species